rnacentral:rRNA from 1 species
AGUGAACGCUGGCGGUAGGCCUAACACAUGCAAGUCGAACGGCAGCACAGUAAGAGCUUGCUCUUACGGGUGGCGAGUGGCGGACGGGUGAGGAAUACAUCGGAAUCUACUUUUUCGUGGGGGAUAACGUAGGGAAACUUACGCUAAUACCGCAUACGACCUACGGGUGAAAGCAGGGGAUCUUCGGACCUUGCGCGAUUGAAUGCGCCGAUGUCGGAUUAGCUAGUUGGCGGGGUAAAGGCCCACCAAGGCGACGAUCCGUAGCUGGUCUGAGAGGAUGGUCACCGACACUGGAACUGAGACACGGUCCAGACGCCUACGGGAGGCAGCAGUGGGGAAUAGUGGACAAUGGGCGCAAGCCUGAUCCAGCCAUACCGCGUGGGUGGAGAAGGCCUUCGGGUUGUAAAGCCCUUUUGUUGGGAAAGAAAAGCAGCAGGUUAAUACCCCGCUGUUCUGACGGUACCCAAAGAAUAAGCACCGGCUAACUUCGUG